UACGUAGGGUGCGAGCGUUAAUCGGAAUUACUGGGCGUAAAGGGUGCGCAGGCGGUUAUGGGAGAAAGGUGUGAAAUCCCCGGGCUUAACCUGGGAACUGCAUUUGUGACUGCAUAGCUAGAGUACGGCAGAGGGGGAUGGAAUUCCGCGUGUAGCAGUGAAAUGCGUAGAUAUGCGGAGGAACACCGAUGGCGAAGGCAAUCCCCUGGGCCUGUACUGACGCUCAUGCACGAAAGCGUGGGGAGCAAACAGG
rnacentral:rRNA from 1 species